GGGGAAUUAAAGUCAGCUAAAGGCUCAACAAUAAAUCGAUAAAAUAGGCCAUAGUGCUAUGUGGUAAAGGUCGUCCCACGACAGACCGAUUGUGGCAUCCGAUAGGUUUCGGUUUUGAUGUUCUCACUCCGCUAAGUCCGUCACAAGCUUCUGCAUAGGGUUGGCUGUGGUUAUGUAUGUAGACACAUUGUGCCAUAUGAACUUAUGUAAGGGUUGUUAUGAGUGAAGUCGCCUUGAAUGGCCAACGUAUGGCCUUAUAAAUAUUUGUAUGAAUUAUAUGCCAUGGAUAAUGUAAUAUAUUUGGUUUUAUUGUGAAUA